GACAGAGGAUGCAAGCGUUAUCCGGAAUGAUUGGGCGUAAAGCGUCUGUAGGUGGCUUUUUAAGUCCGCCGUCAAAUCCCAGGGCUUCAACCCUGGACAGGCGGUGGAAACUACCAAGCUGGAGUACGGUAGGGGCAGAGGGAAUUUCCGGUGGAGCGGGUGAAAAUGCGUAGAGAUCGGAAAGAACACCAACGGCGAAAGCAACUCUGCUGGGCCGACACUGACACUGAGAGACGAAAGCUAGGGGAGCGAAUGGGA
rnacentral:rRNA from 1 species